CGAGCGAACGGACGAGAAGCUUGCUUCUCUGAUGUUAGCGGCGGACGGGUGAGUAACACGUGGAUAACCUACCUAUAAGACUGGGAUAACUUCGGGAAACCGGAGCUAAUACCGGAUGAUAUUUUGAACCGCAUGGUUCAAAAGUGAAAGACGGUCCAUGCUGUCACUUAUAGAUGGAUCCGCGCUGCAUUAGCUAGUUGGUAAGGUAACGGCUUACCAAGGCAACGAUGCAUAGCCGACCUGAGAGGGUGAUCGGCCACACUGGGACUGAGACACGGUCCAGACUCCUACGGGAGGCAGCAGUAGGGAAUCUUCCGCAAUGGGCGAAAGCCUGACGGAGCAACGCCGCGUGAGUGAUGAAGGUCUUCGGAUCGUAAAACUCUGUUAUUAGGGAAGAACAUAUGUGUAAGUA
rnacentral:rRNA from 1 species